CAGACGCCGGGCGCCAGGACGCGCCGUCCCGGCCAGCCCUCGCGCGGAGCCUCCCUCCCAGAUUCCAAACGGAUGCGGGUUCCGGGGCUCACCCGGGAGGGCGCCUGGUCCCUCGAUGCUCUGUCCUUGCCUGCGUCUGGAAUUCGUCCUCUGCUUCCCGCUUUCAUCUGUCUCUGCCUCCCCAGUUGGAUGCUCUAUAUCAAAGCAAGCAAAAUGUUAAGGGCCUUUACUAGCCAGAUAGCUCUGCCGAUAAAGGCGCCUAUGGUGCAAGCUUGGCAACCUGAGUCCGACCCAGAAUGCAGGGGGACAGAUGCAGCUACUGGACGAUAGGAAUGAUUUACGUAAGGCCUGAGGAUAUGAAAGCUUCCAAAACAGUAAGGGUCUAAGAAAGUGUUUAAAGGUCUCGGAAGGUGUUCUGAGGUGUUCCCUCAGAAUCUGCAUCUGGGAAAGCUCCAAAACAGUUACCAACAGGAGCCCUGGCCCAGCCUUCAGAUUGCUUCAAGUGGGCCUACAUACUCCUAACUGCAGAGGGUCCCACAACCCAUACAGCAGUGGAACCACCAGCUCUUCCUGGUCUUGGCCAACAUUCCAGCCUUUUGGCCACACCCCAAAAACAAAACUGUGUCCCAAAGUCAGCAGGAGGAA